rnacentral:lncRNA from 1 species
UUAUUGUCAUUUAUAUAAUCAUUUGGUUAUUCGUGGAUACCAUCAGGGAUACCAGAUGUGUUACCUACUGCACUAUAUUCUCAGAAAAUACUUUUUUGGAUUUGCACAAGGUUUUGUUGAUGUAUUUGUUAUCUUCUCAUAGAUAUGUUCGUGGUGGACUUGAUUCAUCUUAAAGAUUGACUUCAAGCUUAUCAUGGACGAGUUAUACUUGAAGAAGGAGUUUAUGAUUUCUCCUAUGUAUAAGUCAAGUCUUUCCGGAAGUCGAAGCUGGCAGUUUUUAUUCUCUUUUGCUACUACAUUAUUUUUGUACUUCGUUGAGAUCAUACUUUCGUUGUGCGUAUGAUCUGUUGAUUUGGUUUUGUGACGUCUUGUUACUGCUUUUUUACUAAGCUUGUGUCUGGUAUUUUGCUUUUCCAUGUUGGCUUUGAGCAAGAUACGUUGGUUGGUGGUUUUCUUGGUUCUUUGAAGUAUUGUGUUGUAACUUGUAAGGGAUUAGGUGUGUUCGUCGGGGUUCACAUCUAGAAGGUUAGUUCUAUCUAGCUUUCAAUAUUUCACUAUCACUGAAGGUUGGUUUGGGAUGUUAUAGAGGCGUAGAAAGGUCGAGUAUUUUUAUAAGUCAUAUUGUAACUUAUCUUCUCAUAGUGGAACGUUUUCCCUGGGCGAGGCCCCC